UGGGAUUACAGGCAUGAGCCACCGCACCCGGCCAGCAAAUUUCCUUCUAGCCACACCUAAAUUAGUUUUUGAUUAACUGGGUACUAUAGCCUUGUGAAGUCAACACAAGUAACCAUUACAUCAUGGGAUGAUGACAUUAUGAUUCCUGAAAAUAUGAGCUGUGUUUGUUUGGAAUGAAGAGCUUGAAAAGGACAAGGCUUUGAGAAUUCAAGAACUUGUCUAAUGUGAUAAUAAAGAUAGCCAAAGACAAGAUGAUUUCAGCUGGGCUCGGUGGCUCAUGCCUAUAAUCCCAGCACUUUGGGAGGCUGAGGCAGGCGAGUCACUUGAGGUCAGGGGUUUGAGACCAGCCUGGCCAACAUGGUGAAACACUGUCUCUACUAAAAAUACAAAAAUUAGCCAUGUGUGAUGGCAAGCACCUGUAAUCCCAGCUAUUCGGAAGGCUGAGGCAGGAGAAUCAGUUGAACCUAGGAGGCGGAGGUUGCAGUGAGCUAUGAUGCCACUGCACUCCAGCUUGGGUGACAGAGUGAGACUCCGUGUUAGCAAAAAACAACAACAACAACAAAACUGCACUUAUGUAUGUUUUUGUUUAACUUGUGGACAAAGACUUUAGGAAAGGUGCAAAAAAUAAAUCUUCUUUUGCAACCCAGAACUCAUUGUUCAGUAUGAGUUUUGAUACAUAUCAGAAUGGAUACUAUGAUACCUGAGACAGUUAACUGAUGGAGUAUUGAUAGCCAUAAAGGUUGGUCCCAGGCCAGGCACAGUGGCUAAAGCCUGCAAUCUCCACACCAAAGUGGGAGUAUUGCUUGAAGCCAGGAGUUCAAGACGAGCCUGGGCAAGAACGUAACAAACACCUCAUCUCCACAAAAAUUUAAAAAUUAGCUGGAUAUUGGGGCAUGUACCUGUAGUUGCAGCUACUCAGGAAGGGGAGGCUAAGGCAAGAGGAUUGAGCCAGGAGUUGGUGGCUGCACUGAGCCUUGAUGGCACCACUGUACUCCAGCCUGCGUAACAAAGACAGACCCUGUCUCUUAAUAAAAAAUGAUUGAUUCUAGAACUGUAGAAGAGAUAGUUAAACAGCAUGGGAUAUGAGGGAAAUCCUCAGCAGUAUUAAUUUUGCAUUCCAAUUUCAUGUUGACGUGAUACAGACAAUGACUUUUUGUUUUAAAGGCUUUUAUCUUGAGAACAUGGUAUCUGGAGUUAAAGGUAUUGGCGUAUUCCACACAUCUGUACUAUUCUUGAGUGUGAUCGCUUAGGAAUAAAUAUGAUUUGAACUCAUUCAUGUUAAGAGAGGGUGUCAAAUUGAGAACCAGGCAGAUCCACCACCUACAGUAAAAAGGACUUUAAAUUGGCUGAAGAAAUUAGAUCCCAAAGAUUCUUGGUGAAUUUUGAAGUCUUCAUCAGUAUAUCCAUAUUAAAAGAUGACAGAAACCAAAAUAAAAGAAUUAUGGGCUGACAGGACAACUGAAUUAAAAUUAGCAUUAGUUUCAUUAAAAAGGGCUAACUUGAAGAUCAAUCUUUUGAAUCCAGCUCUUUAGAGGAUCUAAAGUCACCUUGAUGGACAGUGGAACAAAUCACAACAUGGAAUUCCUUGAAUAAAGAUUUAUUGACUUUAAAUAAUUUAGCCUAAUGUUACAUUUACACAAUUUUUUUUAAAAAAACCUCUUUACACUGUUUCUAAAACAAACAAACAAAAAGACAAGAUGAUUUCUUCUAGGAGCACUGGAGAAUAGAAGAAUAUUUCAGUAAGAAUAAGAAAAUGUUGCCAAACAUAGUGGCUAACGCCUGUAAUCCUAGCACUUUGGGAGGCCAAGGCAAGAAGAUUGCUUGAGCCCGUGAGUUCAAGACCAGCCUGAGCAACAUGGCAAGACCCUAUCUCUACAAAAAAUUUAAAAUAUUAGCCAGGCAUGGUGGUGCACCUGUAGUCCCAGCUACUUGGGAAACUGAGGUGGGGGGCGGGGAAUCUCUUGAGCCUGGGAGAUUGAGGCUGCAGUGAGCUGUGAUCUUGCCACUGAACUUUAGCCUGGUGACAGAGCAAAACACUGUCAAAAAAAAAAAAAGAAUAAGAAAAUGACAGGGAGUUGAACUCUCAGUUCAAAGAAUAGAGACCCAGAGAAGUUCCACAAUAACGUUAAAAGAGCCGAUCUCUUCAUAUAUACAACCAUAAAUCAUUAAUUUACAAUAAAAUUAAACUAAAAAAAAGAACUGAUUUCCUGCAACUUCCUGACAGACAAAGCUCCAAAUUUAAUUUUGCAGAUUAUAGAAUUAAAACAUAACAUACAACUUCAUCAAGUCUUUCAUGUUAAGAUGAGGGUAUUGGGAAGGAGGUAAACUCUUAGACGUUGGGAAUAUUUGGGGGGACUCAGGCGAAGCUGGGAAUCUUAUACCCCCAAAUUCCCUUGACCCUCCCUUGCCGGUGAAAACAGAACUCCUUCACUGUCUCAGAAAACUGGUUUCUCUGUUUAAACCUUUCCAAAGGCAGUAACCUUGCAAGAGGAUGCCUGUUCUCCUGAAGACCCACCCCAACCAUCCCUGCCUGCCUCCAUAAACCAGUUCACUCCCAGAGUGCCUUGGGGAGAAAAUUAAAAUAUGUGUUCCAAGUAGAUAAGGCUUUACAUACCAAAAUAAUUGCAAAAUCUUGCAAGUUGUUAUUAAUAGGAACCUAGGAAAUUUGUGGGAAUGCAUUGAAGUGUUAAAGGAAUACGCAAUGUAACACUGAAUUGGGCAAAUUUUACCAAUACAAGGCUUUGACUAGAGAUUCUGAGUUUAAUGUUCAAAGCAGAGCAGCUGGAGGUAGCUCUAAGUAUUUGCUUGAUUAGUUCACUGAAGCCUAGACUGAGGACUGAGCGUGGUGAUUACUUGGAAAGAAGGCAUCUUGGUUCUAGUUCUAUUUGAGAUUAAUUAUUUAAAUACUCAGAAAUGAUUUUUGAAAUACAGAGGUAAUAUAUGAUCAUUAUAACUAAUAA
rnacentral:lncRNA from 1 species